AUUAGAACAAUCAGCAGUCUCACUUUAUGGUAGAAUAACAACACAAAGUAAGCUCUGACGUGUCUCCUCCUUGGAAGAUUGUUCUCUGAUCAAAGGACAGAUGAGUCAUAGCAACAUCAGAUCUACUUCAGCAAAACAGUAGUCGUACAGCCAUAUGCUAGUCAAGUUACCAUGGAGCUGAGAUGAGAAACACUGUAUGGGGUCAUGUUGAAAUAUUGAAUGACCUUUCAUCAAC